rnacentral:tRNA from 1 species
GAGGUUAUAGCUCAGUGGUAGAGCACGUGCUUGGCAUGCACAAGGUCCUGGGUUCAAUCCCCAGUACCUCCU